rnacentral:rRNA from 1 species
GAUGAACGCUGGCGGCGUGCUUAACACAUGCAAGUCGAACGGUCAAGCGCGGUCCUUUCUGGUGGGAGGUGAGGAGCGGCGGAGGGGUGAAUAACACGUUAACCACCUGCCAACUCUUGCUGGACGACCGCAUGAAGGAGUGACUAAUAGAGGAUAUUUUGGAUCGGUGGGAUCAAGAGUCAGAGACAGAUUUGGUUUCAGUUGGUGAUGGGUCCGCGGCGCAUUAGCUAGUUGGUGAGGUAACGGCUUACCAAGGCGAGGAUGCGUAGCCGACCUGAGAGGGUGAUCGGCCACACUGGGACUGAGACACGGCCCAGACUCCUACGGGAGGCAGCAGUAGGGAAUCUUCGGCAAUGGGCGAAAGCCUGAUGGAGCAACGCCGCGUGAGGGAUGAAGGUCUUCGGAUCGUAAAACUCUGUUGUUAGGGAAGAACAAGGCUGUAAGUAUCUGUGCGUGGCUUGACGGUACCUGAACAGAAAGCGACGGCUAACUACGUG